UAGGCGUCUUUCCGACCUCAAAGCGCUGACGCCAGAUCAAAUUACCCGUAUGGGAGUCGACAAUUUCGACAGUCGCGAACUAGUGC
rnacentral:ribozyme from 1 species